GAUUAAAAAAAUAUACCCCAACCCCAAGCCUCAGGAUUGCAGCUGUUUAAUGUGGGCCAGCAGUCCUACCAGGAACACUUCGCCUGGAGAAACCUGGACCGGCCUUUCGGGUGUGUGUCUGCGAGAGACAGGGGUUUCUUCUAUUUCCUCGCUCCCCUCUUGUUAUUGUGGAGCCUGCCUGAGAGGAUGAGAGCCCGGACCUCCCUGUAGUUGUCCAGUUUGGGAUCGUGGAGAGAAGGAGCCAGUACGUCUCGGAGAAGAGUGGCUUUAUUUAUAUAGAAGAAAACUGCACAAUUUAAUUUUUCCUUCCCUUGCCUUUUGCCCCGGGGAGCCUGCAGACACGAUGGCAAAACUGACCAUUGGAUUGGAGAAGUGAUCUGUUCAACAAACACCUUUUCUGGAUAUGCUAAUCACCUCCUGCGAAUCUCCCAUGUAACAAGGAAAAACAAUAAUGCAAAACCAGCUGACACAGUGAACAUAUUUGAAAAUGUAUACAGUAUCCCCCUUACAUUAUUACUCCUUCUCCAGUGAAAGAGGCAAGUUUCCUGAGGUACCGCAUCACACCUAUCAG